GGGUUGUGAGGUUAAGCGACUAAGCGUACACGGUGGAUGCCCUGGCAGUCAGAGGCGAUGAAGGACGUGCUAAUCUGCGAUAAGCGUCGGUAAGGUGAUAUGAACCGUUAUAACCGGCGAUUUCCGAAUGGGGAAACCCAGUGUGUUUCGACACACUAUCAUUAACUGAAUCCAUAGGUUAAUGAGGCGAACCGGGGGAACUGAAACAUCUAAGUACCCCGAGGAAAAGAAAUCAACCGAGAUUCCCCCAGUAGCGGCGAGCGAACGGGGAGCAGCCCAGAGCCUGAAUCAGUGUGUGUGUUAGUGGAAGCGUCUGGAAAGGCGCGCGAUACAGGGUGACAGCCCCGUACACAAAAAUGCACAUACUGUGAGCUCGAUGAGUAGGGCGGGACACGUGGUAUCCUGUCUGAAUAUGGGGGGACCAUCCUCCAAGGCUAAAUACUCCUGACUGACCGAUAGUGAACCAGUACCGUGAGGGAAAGGCGAAAAGAACCCCGGCGAGGGGAGUGAAAAAGAACCUGAAACCGUGUACGUACAAGCAGUGGGAGC
rnacentral:rRNA from 1 species